UUUUGAAGUGUAGUUGAAUUUUUGAAACAUUCAAAAUUUGCCUUUCCUUAUAAUGGUCUGUAUUUUGAUGGUUUAUAACACUGAAAUGGUUAGAGAUAUCAAUAUAGUUACUAUUGAGCACUGAUAGGUUGUCAUAUGUGGACUUUGAUUUA